CACACCGCCCGUCGCUACUACCGAUUGAAUGGCUCAGUGAGGCUUUCGGACUGGCUCAGAGAGGUGGGCAACUACCACUCAGAGCCGGAAAGUUAUCCAAACUCGGUCAUUUAGAGGAAGUAAAAGUCGUAACAAGGUCUCCGUUGGUGAACCAGCGGAGGGAUCAUUA
rnacentral:rRNA from 1 species